rnacentral:rRNA from 1 species
UCAUCAUGCCCUAUAUGCCCUGGCUACACACGUGCUACAAUGGAAGAUACAAAGGGAAGCGAAAUAGUGAUAUUAAGCAAACCUCAAAAAGUCUUUCCCAGUUCGGAUUGUACUCUGCAACUCGAGUACAUGAAGAUGGAGUUGCUAGUAAUCGCAGAUCAGAAUGCUGCGGUGAAUGCGUUCCCGGGUCUUGUACACACCGCCCGUCACACCAUGGAAGCUUGUAAUACCCGAAGCCUGCGAGCAAACCUUAGGGAAGCAGCAGUCGAAGGUAGGAUAGGUGACUGGGGUGAAGUCGUAACAAGGUAGCCGUAUCGGAA